GGAGAGAUGGCGGAGUCCGGUUGAACGCGCCCGAUUCGAAAUCGGGUAGGCCGGUUAAGCCCGGCCUCGGGGGUUCGAAUCCCUCUCUCUCCG
rnacentral:tRNA from 1 species